rnacentral:rRNA from 1 species
UACAGAGGUCUCAAGCGUUGUUCGGAUUCAUUGGGCGUAAAGGGUGCGUAGGUGGCCAACUAAGUCGGACGUGAAAUCCCUCGGCUUAACCGGGGAACUGCGUCUGAUACUGGAUGGCUUGAGUUCGGGAGAGGGAUGCGGAAUUCCAGGUGUAGCGGUGAAAUGCGUAGAUAUCUGGAGGAACACCGGUGGCGAAGGCGGCAUCCUGGACCGACACUGACGCUGAGGAGCGAAAGCCAGGGGAGCAAACGGG